rnacentral:rRNA from 1 species
UGAUGGAGGGGGAUAACUACUGGAAACGGUAGCUAAUACCGCAUAACGUCGCAAGACCAAAGUGGGGGACCUUCGGGCCUCAUGCCAUCAGAUGUGCCCAGAUGGGAUUAGCUAGUAGGUGGGGUAACGGCUCACCUAGGCGACGAUCCCUAGCUGGUCUGAGAGGAUGACCAGCCACACUGGAACUGAGACACGGUCCAGACUCCUACGGGAGGCAGCAGUGGGGAAUAUUGCACAAUGGGCGCAAGCCUGAUG